rnacentral:rRNA from 1 species
GACGAACGCUGGCGGCGUGCCUAAUACAUGCGAGUAGAACGCACAGUUUAUACCGUAGCUUGCUACACCAUAAACUGUGAGUUGCGAACGGGUGAGUAACGCGUAGGUAACCUGCCUGGUAGCGGGGGAUAACUAUUGGAAACGAUAGCUAAUACCGCAUAAUAUUGAUUAUUGCAUGAUAAUUGAUUGAAAGAUGCUAUUGCAUCACUACCAGAUGGACCUGCGUUGUAUUAGCUAGUAGGUGAGGUAACGGCUCACCUAGGCGACGAUACAUAGCCGACCUGAGAGGGUGAUCGGCCACCCUGGGACUGAGACACGGCCCAGACUCCUACGGGAGGCAGCAGUAGGGAAUCUUCGGCAAUGGACGAAAGUCUGACCGAGCAACGCCGCGUGAGUGAAGAAGGUUUUCGGAUCGUAAAGCUCUGUUGUAAGAGAAGAACGGGUGUGAGAGUGGAAAGUUCACACUGUGACGGUAUCUUACCAGAAAGGGACGGCUAACUACGUG